rnacentral:rRNA from 1 species
UAUAAGCACUUGUACUGUGAACUGCGAAUGGCUCAUUAAAUCAGUUAUCGUUUAUUUGAUAGUACCUUACUACAUGGAUACCUGUGGUAAUUCUAGAGCUAAUACAUGCUAAAAACCCCGACUUCAGGAAGGGGUGUAUUUAUUAGAUAAAAAACCAACGCCCUUCGGGGCUCCUUGGUGAAUCAUAAUAACUUAACGAAUCGCAUGGCCUUGCGCCGGCGAUGGUUCAUUCAAAUUUCUGCCCUAUCAACUUUCGAUGGUAGGAUAGUGGCCUACCAUGGUGGCAACGGGUAACGGGGAAUUAGGGUUCGAUUCCGGAGAGGGAGCCUGAGAAACGGCUACCACAUCCAAGGAAGGCAGCAGGCGCGCAAAUUACCCAAUCCCGAUACGGGGAGGUAGUGACAAUAAAUACUGAUACGGGGCUCUUUUGGGUCUCGUAAUUGGAAUGAGAACAAUUUAAAUCCCUUAACGAGGAACAAUUGGAGGGCAAGUCUGGUGCCAGCAGCCGCGGUAAUUCCAGCUCCAAUAGCGUAUAUUAAAGUUGUUGCAGUUAAAAAGCUCGUAGUUGAACCUUGGGUCUGGCUGGCCGGUCCGCCUCACCGCGAGUACUGGUCCGGCUGGACCUUUCCUUCUGGGGAACCUCAUGGCCUUCACUGGCUGUGGGGGGAACCAGGACUUUUACUGUGAAAAAAUUAGAGUGUUCAAAGCAGGCCUUUGCUCGAAUACAUUAGCAUGGAAUAAUAGAAUAGGACGUGUGGUUCUAUUUUGUUGGUUUCUAGGACCGCCGUAAUGAUUAAUAGGGGAUAGUCGGGGGGCGUCAGUAUUCAGCUGUCAGAGGUGAAAUUCUUGGAUUUGACUGAAAGACUAACCUACUGCGAAAGCCAUUCGCCAGGAUGUUUU